rnacentral:rRNA from 1 species
CGGGAACUCAAAGGAGACUGCCAGUGAUAAACUGGAGGAAGGUGGGGAUGACGUCAAGUCAUCAUGGCCCUUACGACCAGGGCUACACACGUGCUACAAUGGCGCAUACAAAGAGAAGCGACCUCGCGAGAGCAAGCGGACCUCAUAAAGUGCGUCGUAGUCCGGAUUGGAGUCUGCAACUCGACUCCAUGAAGUCGGAAUCGCUAGUAAUCGUGGAUCAGAAUGCCACGGUGAAU